CUUUCCAUUUACUUGCUGCCCUAGGCUCUCAGUGACAGGAGCAGUUUUACGCAUAGGAUAAAAUAAUAUUGGGCAAUUGUAAAUCGAGAUGAGGUGAUUUUCUCUCUUCUGCAUGGUCUAGACAUUG